rnacentral:misc_RNA from 1 species
UGUGGGAGCGGGCUUGCCCGCGAUAGCGAUGUGUCAGUCGGCUUAUCUUUAACUGAUCCACCGCAAUCGCGGGCAAGCCCGCUCCCACC